CCUACGGGGUGCUGCAGUAGGGAAUUUUGCGCAAUGGGCGAAAGCCUGACGCAGCAACGCCGCGUGAUCGAGACGCCCUUCGGGGUGUAAAGAUCUGUCAGUGGGGACGAAACCUGACGGUACCCACAGAGGAAGCCCCGGCUAACUCCGUGCCAGCCGCCGCGGUAAUACGGGGGGUGCAAGCGUUGUCCGGAAUCAUUGGGCGGAAAGAGUUCGUAGGCGGCACGUGAAAUCUGGAGUUAAAAGCAGAGGCUCAACUUCGGUACGGCACUGAAUACUUGCGGGCUAGAAUGCGGUAGAGGUAAAGGGAAUUCCUGGUGUAGCGGUGAAAUGCGUAGAAAUCAGGAGGAACAUCGGUGGCGAAGGCGCUUUACUGGGCCGUAAUUGACGCUGAGGAACGAAAGCCAGGGUAGCAAAUGGGAUUAGAUACCCCUGUAGUC
rnacentral:rRNA from 1 species